rnacentral:rRNA from 1 species
AUUGAACGCUGGCGGCAUGCCUUACACAUGCAAGUCGAACGGUAACAGGUCUUCGGAUGCUGACGAGUGGCGAACGGGUGAGUAAUACAUCGGAACGUGCCCGAUCGUGGGGGAUAACGAGGCGAAAGCUUUGCUAAUACCGCAUACGAUCUACGGAUGAAAGCGGGGGAUCUUCGGACCUCGCGCGGACGGAGCGGCCGAUGGCAGAUUAGGUAGUUGGUGGGAUAAAAGCUUACCAAGCCGACGAUCUGUAGCUGGUCUGAGAGGAUGAUCAGCCUCACUGGGACUGAGACACGGCCCAGACUCCUACGGGAGGCAGCAGUGGGGAAUUUUGGACAAUGGGCGAAAGCCUGAUCCAGCCAUGCCGCGUGCAGGAUGAAGGCCUUCGGGUUGUAAACUGCUUUUGUACGGAACGAAAAGCCUCUUUCUAAUAAAGAGGGGUCAUGACGGUACCGUAAGAAUAAGCACCGGCUAACUACGUGCCAGCCGCCGCAGUAACAC